GAUGAACGCUGGCGGCGUGCCUAAUACAUGCAAGUCGAGCGAACAGACGAGGAGCUUGCUCCUCUGACGUUAGUGGCGGACGGGUGAGUAACACGUGGAUAACCUACCUAUAAGACUGGGAUAACUUCGGGAAACCGGAGCUAAUACCGGAUAAUAUAUUGAACCGCAUGGUUCAAUAGUGAAAGACGGUUUUGCUGUCACUUAUAGAUGGAUCCGCGCCGCAUUAGCUAGUUGGUAAGGUAACGGCUUACCAAGGCAACGAUGCGUAGCCGACCUGAGAGGGUGAUCGGCGACACUGGAACUGAGACACGGUCCAGACUCCUACGGGAGGCAGCAGUAGGGAAUCUUCCGCAAUGGGCGAAAGCCUGACGGAGCAACGCCGCGUGAGUGAUGAAGGUCUUCGGAUCGUAAAACUCUGUUAUUAGGGAAGAACAAAUGUGUAAGUAACUAUGCACGUCUUGACGGUACCUAAUCAGAAAGCCACGGCUAACUACGUG
rnacentral:rRNA from 1 species